rnacentral:lncRNA from 1 species
UGCACACAGAUUGUAUGCCCACAAAGUUGGCCCUGAAGAGAGAUUCAGGAUGGAGGCCUUGAACUAGAUCAGGGAUCAUAUUUAUGUGCAUUACACACUGGGGUCCUGAUGUGUACUAUGCAUAGAGCUGGGCCCACACUCAACCAGCUCAUACAGCAAGCAGAAUUAGGAUACAAACAGGAUUGCAAACCACAUGUAAUAAGCACUAGUGGAGAGAGAUUAGCUUCACAGAAAAGCGAGAGUGAAGCAUGAGCCAGUGUUAGAGGAACCUUUUGGGAAAUAUUUUCACCUGGCAACAUCUCUUACUCCUCCCUUCAUUCUUAAGGACAGCCAUGGGCAGCCAUGUUUAUACCAUGUGACUUACUCUCCUGGAUUAGAUCGAGGCCAUCACCUGACUCAAAGCAGCCAAUCUGAGUGCUCUCUUGAGACCAGCACAGGUUGAAGUUCUAAACUAGAAUGUUAACUGGGAGAGCUGUGGCUGUGCAUCCUUCCCAAGAAGAAGCUGCAGAGAAGGAAAAGAGGAAGCUAAACAGCAUUUGUGGGGCCGGGGAUUUAGCUCAGUGGUUUUGCCGCCUGCUGCACAAGUGCAAGGACCCGAGUUCAAUCCCAGGAUCCGGUCCUGAUUGUCCCAGGAGCCAGAGAAGAACAGAAGGAGGCCCUUCGGGACCGUGUGCAUGGACCACUUCAAGUUGGUGGACAGACACAGACAUCCCCACCAGGACAGCUGGUGGUAAAGAUGCCCAGGAAGCUGUGCUGCAGCUGGCCCUCACUCCAGAAGCUCAGGGG